AUAACAAUACAGGACUCUUUCGAGGCCCUGUAAUUGGAAUGAGUACACUUUAAAUCCUUUAACGAGGAUCUAUUGGAGAGCAAGUCUGGUGCAGAGCGACUGACCCGUGCGUGCUGCAGCUGAAA